rnacentral:rRNA from 1 species
AUUGAACGCUGGCGGCAUGCCUUACACAUGCAAGUCGAACGGUAACAGGUCUUCGGAUGCUGACGAGUGGCGAACGGGUGAGUAAUACAUCGGAACGUGCCCGAUCGUGGGGGAUAACGCAGCGAAAGCUGUGCUAAUACCGCAUACGAUCUACGGUUGAAAGCGGGGGAUCGCAAGACCUCGCGCGGACGGAGCGGCCGAUGGCAGAUUAGGUAGUUGGUGGGAUAAAAGCUUACCAAGCCGACGAUCUGUAGCUGGUCUGAGAGGACGACCAGCCACACUGGGACUGAGACACGGCCCAGACUCCUACGGGAGGCAGCAGUGGGGAAUUUUGGGCAAUGGGCGCAAGCCUGAUCCAGCCAUGCCGCGUGCAGGAUGAAGGCCUUCGGGUUGUAAACUGCUUUUGUACGGAACGAAAAAGCUCUCUCUAAUACAGGGGGUGAAUGACGGUACCGUAAGAAUAAGCACCGGCUAACUACGUG